UACGUAGGGGGCGAGCGUUGUCCGGAUUCAUUGGGCGUAAAGAGCUCGUAGGCGGCUUGUCAAGUCGGGUGUGAAACCUCCAGGCUCAACCUGGAGACGCCACUCGAGACUGUCAUGGCUAGAGUCCGGUAGGGGAUCACGGAAUUCCUGGUGUAGCGGUGAAAUGCGUAGAGAUGUGGAGGAACACCAGUGGCGAAGGCGGCUUUCUGGUCUGUAACUGACGCUGAGGCGCGAAAGCGUGGGAGCAAACAGG
rnacentral:rRNA from 1 species